rnacentral:rRNA from 1 species
GAUGAACGCUGGCGGCGUGCCUAAUACAUGCAAGUCGAGCGAACAGAUGAGGAGCUUGCUCCUCUGACGUUAGCGGCGGACGGGUGAGUAACACGUGGAUAACCUACCUAUAAGACUGGGAUAACUUCGGGAAACCGGAGCUAAUACCGGAUAAUAUAUUGAACCGCAUGGUUCAAUAGUGAAAGACGGUUUUGCUGUCACUUAUAGAUGGAUCCGCGCCGCAUUAGCUAGUUGGUAAGGUAACGGCUUACCAAGGCAACGAUGCGUAGCCGACCUGAGAGGGUGAUAGGCCACAUGGGAACUGAGACACGGUCCAGACUACUACGGGAGGCAGCAGUAGGGAAUCUUCCGCAAUGGGCGAAAGCCUGACGGAGCAACGCCGCGUGAGUGAUGAAGGUCUUCGGAGCGUAAAACUCUGUUAUUAGGGAAGAACAAAUGUGUAAGUAACUAUGCACGUCUUGACGGUAACUAAUCAGAAAGCCACGGCUAACUACGUG